rnacentral:rRNA from 1 species
CUGAGAGGAAGGUCCCCCACAUUGGAAUGGAGACACGGUCCAAACUCCUACGGGAGGCAGCAGUGAGGAAUAUUGGUCAAUGGACGAGAGUCUGAACCAGCCAAGUAGCGUGCAGGAUGACGGCCCUAUGGGUUGUAAACUGCUUUUGUAUGGGGAUAAAGUCAAUCACGUGUGAUUGUUUGCAGGUACCAUACGAAUAAGGACCGGCUAAUUCCGUGCCAGCAGCCGCGGUAAUACGGAAGGUCCGGGCGUUAUCCGGAUUUAUUGGGUUUAAAGGGAGCGUAGGCCGGAGAUUAAGUGUGUUGUGCAAUGUAGACGCUCAACGUCUGACUUGCAGCGCAUACUGGUUUCCUUGAGUACGCACAACGUUGGCGGAAUUCGUCGUGUAGCGGUGAAAUGCUUAGAUAUGACGAAGAACUCCGAUUGCGAAGGCAGCUGACGGGAGCGCAACUGACGCUUAAGCUCGAAGGUGCGGGUAUCGAACAGGAUUAGAUACCCUGGUAGUCCGCACAGUAAACGAUGGAUGCCCGCUGUUGGUACCUGGUAUCAGCGGCUAAGCGAAAGCAUUAAGCAUCCCACCUGGGGA